rnacentral:rRNA from 1 species
GACGAACCGUGCGAACGUUAUUCGGAAUCACUGGGCUUAAAGCGCGUGUAGGCGGGAAGGCACGUCGGUCGUUGAAAUCCCCCGGCUCAACCGGGGAAGUGGCGCCGAUACGACCUUCCUGGAGGGACGUAGGGGGACCUGGAACUUCCGGUGGAGCGGUGAAAUGCGUUGAGAUCGGAAGGAACGCCCGUGGCGAAAGCGAGGUCCUGGACGUUUUCUGACGCUGAGACGCGAAAGCCAGGGGAGCAAACGGG